rnacentral:piRNA from 1 species
UGGAGUUUGUUACUUCUGAUGCUCGGAUGU